UAACAGGUAAAACCACCAAUCAGGGUCAUGGAAGUCAAUUCUAGCUUCCUCACUCAGGCUAUGCUACCUAGAGGAUGCCCAUCUGAGACCUGACUCCACCAUGAGCUGCAGGCUUCUCUGCAGUGUGACCCUCUGUCUCCUUGGUGUAGUCCCCAUGAACAGCACAAUUAUCCAGACACCAAGAUAUCUGGUUAUGGGAACAGCAAACAAGAAGUCUUUAAAAUGUGAACAACAUCUGGGACAUGAUGCCAUGUACUGGUAUAAACAGAAUGCUAAAAAUCCUCCAGAGCUCAUGUUUGUUUACAGCUUUCAGAAACUGACCCAAAAUGAAACAGUGCCUAGCCGCUUCUCACCUUGGUGCUCAGAAAAAACUCAUAUGUACCUUAACUUGACUGCUUUGCACCCAGAAGAUUCAGCAGUGUACCUCUGUGCCAGCAGCGAAGACACAGCCAUGCAGAGCAACUGCCUCCCUGUGCACAAAUCUGUGGGCCCACCAGGGAAGCUUUGGGGGCAAAUGAGGGCUCUGAUGCACAUUUCCUGUAGGGUUUCCUUGUAAACUGUUAUGCAAACC